CACGCUUCAGUGGUCAGUGAUCUAAGUGGUAACGACCACGCUGUAAUUGCAGCACUCUCUGCAUUACUCAUUAUGAAUAAAAUAUGAUGGGUGUUAAUCAGCCAUGAAUUAAGGGACAUCAUCAGUGUGCCAGCUUGAAUUUCGAACAGCACAUAACGGGAAGACAUGUUUUUGAACGGAGCUGAAGGCACCUAGACAAGACUGAAUUGGUUGUUUGCUGUUGCUAACUAGAAAACUACAGGAUCAGAAGACAAAGUUUAAUGCAACUCAAAAGCUGACCAUUAAAUGUCCCCAAAGCACCACAUGUAGAAGUUUUGUGAGGUAAACAAACUUCUGACAGAAAUGCUGACAGCAGCAUCACAUUAUGCAACGAAAAGGAUGCUGUGUUGACUUGCACCAAGAAAACACCCAGUUUCCACCUCAGUGUUCCAAUGCACG